GAAAUUUAACGGAUUUGGCGGCAAGAUAGCCCCUUAGAGGAACCUGCCCUAUAAACGAUGAACCACGAAGAGACGUUACUUUUUUUUGAAAUCAGUUUGUAUAUCGCUGUUGUCAGUUAGAUUCCGAAGAAUAUUUUCAUUUAUGAAAAGGUCAUUGACUUCAAGUAAAGGUGCAGCUUAUAGAAAAGAAAGAGGUGGGUUACAUUUAAAAGAAUAAUACGGAUAAGAUAAAUGAAGGAAUCUUUGAAGGUGGAUUUAACUGUAAAAUUUAAUAAAAUUUGGUGAGAGCUCUAUCUUGUGUACACACCGCCCGUC
rnacentral:rRNA from 1 species